rnacentral:rRNA from 1 species
AGAGUUUGAUCAUGGCUCAGGAUGAACGCUAGCGGCAGGCUUAACACCUGCAAGUCGAGGGGUAGAAAUAGCUUGCUAUUUUGAGACCGGCGCACGGGUGCGUAACGCGUAUGCAAUCUACCUUUCACAGGGGGAUAGCCCGGAGAAAUCCGGAUUAAUACCCCAUGGUUUUUUAGGGUGGCAUCACCUUAUUAAUAAAGAUUUAUCGGUGAAAGAUGAGCAUGCGUCCCAUUAGCUAGAUGGUAAGGUAACGGCUUACCAUGGCUUCGAUGGGUAGGGGUCCUGAGAGGGAGAUCCCCCACACUGGUACUGAGACACGGACCAGACUCCUACGGGAGGCAGCAGUGAGGAAUAUUGGACAAUGGGCGCAAGCCUGAUCCAGCCAUGCCGCGUGCAGGAUGAAGCAUCUAUGGUGUGUAAACUGCUUUUAUACGGGAAGAAACCCUGGAACGUGUUCCAGACUGACGGUACCGUAAGAAUAAGGAUCGGCUAACUCCGUGCCGGCAGCCGCGGUAAUACGGAGGAUCCAAGCGUUAUCCGGAAUCAUUGGGUUUAAAGGGUCCGUAGGCGGCCCUGUAAGUCAGUGGUGAAAUCUCACGGCUCAACCGUGAAAUUGCCAUUGAUACUGCAGGGCUUGAAUUACCAGGAAGUAACUAGAAUAUGUAGUGUAGCGGUGAAAUGCU